rnacentral:RNase_P_RNA from 1 species
CCAGCCGGCCGGACGGCCGCUCUCCUCACGGAGGGAGGAAAGUCCGGGCUCCAUGGAGACACGGUGCCGGAUAACGUCCGGCGGGGGUGACCCCAGGGAAAGCGCCACAGAGAACGAACCGCCCCGGAUCCGUCCGGGGUAAGGGUGAAAAGGUGCGGUAAGAGCGCACCGCGCGGCCGGCAACGGGCGCGGCAUGGCAAGCCCCACCGGGAGCAAGACCGAAUAGGGGCGACGAAGACCGAGGGUUCGCCCUCGGUUUGGGCCCGUCUCCGGGUCGUCGCCCGGGUUGGUUGCUUGAGGCGGCCGGUAACGGUCGUCCCAGAGGAAUGGCCGUCACGUGCGGGCCGAAAGGUUCGCGCCAUACAGAACCCGGCUUACAGGCCGGCUGGCAUC